rnacentral:rRNA from 1 species
GAUCAUGGCUCAGAUUGAACGCUGGCGGCAUGCUUUACACAUGCAAGUCGAACGGUAACAGGUUAAGCUGACGAGUGGCGAACGGGUGAGUAAUGCAUCGGAACGUGCCCAGUCGUGGGGGAUAACGCAGCGAAAGCUGUGCUAAUACCGCAUACGAUCUAUGGAUGAAAGCGGGGGACCGUAAGGCCUCGCGCGAUUGGAGCGGCCGAUGUCAGAUUAGCUAGUUGGUGGGGUAAAGGCCCACCAAGGCGACGAUCUGUAGCUGGUCUGAGAGGACGACCAGCCACACUGGGACUGAGACACGGCCCAGACUCCUACGGGAGGCAGCAGUGGGGAAUUUUGGACAAUGGACGCAAGUCUGAUCCAGCCAUUCCGCGUGCAGGAUGAAGGCCCUCGGGUUGUAAACUGCUUUUGUACGGAACGAAAAGGUUUCUAUUAAUACCCUGUGCGGAUGACGGUACCGGCAUAAGAAGCACCGGCUAACUACGUG